UAGCCGUUGGAGGGGCAAAGUAGCGUAGCAGGAUUGCAGGACGAAGUGUUGUGUAUAGCAGUGUACGAAAAACGCCUGUGAGGUAGGUUUGUGAGUGAACGUGCAUCGAAAUUGGAAUACCGAUUUCAACGACAGCUCAUCAUGGGAGGCAUAACUCAACGUCCAUGGACUCCUACUAAACGACGAGGCCCCAUUGCAGCCGAGUUCAGAGGACCAGGACCUGCAUGCGUAGCACUACCCUCAUACAUAGGAAAGAGAACAUCAGAAUCUAAGACGGAAAGAGCCCCAGCUUUCAGUUUUGGAGCGAGACAUAACGGAAAACUAGAAAGCAUAGGUCCAGGACCAGGUCAAUAUAAUGUUACAGGAUUGAGUGCAAAAGGGAAAGAUACGCCACCAGCUUUAAGCCUCCAUGGUAGACCCAAGGAACCCAAACCCGAGAAUUUCCCAGCUCCUGGAGACUACAAUCCUGACAAAGCUGAAAAAGUAAUUCACGAUAACGCACCAAAAUAUACUUUUGGCUUGAAAACCAAUGUUGAGAAGCCUUUAGGUACACCAGCACCAAACGUUUACAAUAUACCGGAGACAGUUGCUCAUGAUACCCCAAAAUACAGUUUUGGAUCAAAAACCCCAUUAGAAAAGCCGCUGGAUACUCCUGCUCCUAAUGCUUAUAAACCGUUCAGCCGAACUUCUAGUCACCGAUACUCUUUUGGGAGGCGGACACCAACACCUAGAAAUUGCGAUACACCUGCACCAAACGUAUACGAUGUUCCAAAAGCAGAUAAACUAUUGCUAGAUAAAUCACCGAGAUAUAGUUUUGGGGUAAAACCAGACCUUGUGAAAUCCUUCGACACCCCUGCACCCAACGUUUACAAUGUUCCAACAGCAGAUAAGGUUUUACACGAAAACUCACCAAAAUUCAGCUUUGGAGCCAAGGUCCAAGUGGAAAAACCUUUGGAAACACCCGCCCCCAAUGUAUACAACAUUCCAUCGGCCGUUGGCGAAAAGUCCGGCCCUGCCUAUACGAUCUCGGGAAGGACAAAGGAACCAGUUGACGAACGUGUGAAGAAUCCUGCUCCAGGACAAUACAACUUAGUGAAUCCUGAAAAUUAUAAAACUCAUUCUCCUGCUUAUACUAUCAGUGGAAGAGUGAAUAUUCCAAGUAAUGACAAUAUUCCAGGACCAGGGGUGUACUCGCCAGAGAAGGUAAACUGUCAUCUGAGACACGCUCCAAGCCAUUCUUUCGGCAUAAGGCAUUCCCCGUAUCUAGGCACGCAGAAUUCGUGCCUUCGGAGAGAAAAAACGUCUCUUUUAUUUUAAGGACUACCUAACCUACUUCUAACUAAAAUAUGAAACUAACAUUUUUUUGUCAAUGGAAAAUAUGCAGGUUGAAAUUGAUAUUUCUCCAGCCCACAGCUUUGGAAUUAGACACUCUCCUUUUUCUGACCAUUAUUAGGAAGAAACAAGGAAAACGAUGACGAACUCGACUGCAUUCCUGUCUGCCAUCCAUGUGUGGAGUGCAGAACUUCCAUCAUUUCAACAAAAUUGUCUUUUACCGGUCAACUUUUUCCAUAGAUGAGAUUAACCACGCCAUAAUCAAAACUGACAAUGAAAGAUAGUUUUCCAAAUCAUUUCGUCCCCACAGAUAUUUGAAUAACUCAUGCAUUAUUUAUUCUAGACACUACUGACAUUCAAACUCCAGACAAAAAACUAAAGGUUUUUUCCUUAAGAAUUGCGUUGCCAAUUAUGCCAUACGAAUAGCUUGUAUUAAUCUCAAAACGCGGUUUUUAUAAUUGAAAUCACUUUUGUUUGUUGUAUAUUAACAUUUUUAUAUCAUGUUUUUCAAAUAAACUUUUUAUAUUAG